GCUUGUACAGGAUAGGUAGGAGCCUUUGAAACGUGAGCGCUAGCUUACGUGGAGGCGUUGGUGGGAUACUACCCUAGCUGUGUUGGCUUUCUAACCCGCACCACUUAUCGUGGUGGGAGACAGUGUCAGGCGGGCAGUUUGACUGGGGCGGUCGCCUCCUAAAAGGUAACGGAGGCGCUCAAAGGUUCCCUCAGAAUGGUUGGAAAUCAUUCAUAGAGUGUAAAGGCAUAAGGGAGCUUGACUGCGAGACCUACAAGUCGAGCAGGGUCGAAAGACGGACUUAGUGAUCCGGUGGUUCCGCAUGGAAGGGCCAUCGCUCAACGGAUAAAAGCUACCCCGGGGAUAACAGGCUUAUCUCCCCCAAGAGUUCACAUCGACGGGGAGGUUUGGCACCUCGAUGUCGGCUCGUCGCAUCCUGGGGCUGUAGUCGGUCCCAAGGGUUGGGCUGUUCGCCCAUUAAAGCGGUACGCGAG
rnacentral:rRNA from 1 species